AUGGCUUCUUCCAUUCUUGUUUCAUGCAUGAUUGUAGAAAUUCUAUUGAGUUCUUCUGGAGCACAGGGCCAGAGCCGACCAGAUCGUGCUGCGCCAAUGCAAGAAGAAGGCCCGCCAGAUGCAGUACAAGGUGCGCUAUGUGGCCAUCUCGACAUACUAUCACGACGCUCUUGGUGUGAUGAUGACCAAGGAAGAAGCGCGGAGGAUGGGCAUUACCUUGGAGAGGCCCGAGUACUUGGCGAUAAGUAUAAAAGAUUUUUCAUUCCGAUGUUUGUGGUACAUUUCACCGUUUCGUGUUGA
rnacentral:rRNA from 1 species